rnacentral:rRNA from 1 species
GACGAACGCUGGCGGCGUGCUUAACACAUGCAAGUCGAGCGGAGCGGCGAACGGGUGAGUAACGCGUGAGUAACUGCCCCCCUCUCUGGGAUAACAGUUGGAAACGGCUGCUAAUACCGGAUAGUGGGGGAUGACUCGCGUCCUAUCAGCUUGUUGUUGGGGUAGUGGCCUACCAAGGCGACGACGGGUAGCCGGCCUGAGAGGGCGACAGGCCACAUUGGGGUGAGAUACUGCCCAAACUCCUACGGGAUGCAGCAGUGGUGAAUAUUGCACCAUGGGGGAAUCCCUGAUGCAGCAACGCGCGUGCGGGAUGACGGCCUUCGGUUUGUAAACCGCUUGCAGCCAUGACGCGGUAGUGGAAGAAGAAGCACCUGCUAACUACGUACCAGCCGCCGCGGUAGUUC